AUUGAACGCUGGCGGCAGGCCUAACACAUGCAAGUCGAACGAGUGGCGCACGGGUGAGUAAUGUCUGGGAAAUAGCCCUAUGGCGGGGGAUAACUCCUGGAAACGGUAGUUAAUACCGCAUACCAUUGGAUGUGCCCAGAUGGGAUUAUCUAGUAGGUGGGGUAACGGCUCACCUAGGCGACGAUCCCUAGCUGGUCUGAGAGGAUGACCGGCCACACUGGAACUGAGACACGGUCCAGACUCCUACGGGAGGCAGCAGUGGGGAAUAUUGCACAAUGGGCGCAAGCCUGAUGCAGCCAUGCCGCGUGUAUGAAGAAGGCCUUCGGGUUGUAAAGUACUUUCAGCGGGGAGGCGUUACUCGCAGAAGAAGCACCGGCUAACUCCGUGCCAGCAGCCGCGGUAAUUC
rnacentral:rRNA from 1 species